CAGGCAACAUUCUUCCAGUCUUCAACUGUCCAAUUUUGGUGAGCUUGUGCAAAUUGUAGCCUCUUUUUCCUAUUUGUAGUGGAGAUGAGUGGUACCCGGUGGGGUCUUCUGCUGUUGAAGCCCAUCCGCCUCAAGGUUGUGCGUGUUGUGUCUUCACAAAUGCUUUGCUGCAUACCUCGGUUGUAACGAGUGGUUAUUUCAGUCAAAGUUGCUCUUCUAUCAGCUUGAAUCAGUCGGCCCAUUCUCUUCUGACCUCUAGCAUCAACAAGGCAUUUUCGCCCACAGGACUGGCGCAUACUGGAUGUUUUUCCCUUUUCAUACCAUUCUUUGUAAACCCUAGAAAUGGUUGUGCGUGAAAAUCCCAGUAACUGAGCAGAUGGUGGAAUACUCAGACCGGCCCGUCUGGCACCAAUAUCCAUGCCACGCUCAAAAUUGCUUAAAUCACCUUUCUUUCCCAUUCUUACAUUCAGUUUGGAGUUCAGGAGAUUGUCUUGACCAGGACCACACCCCUAAAUGUAUUGAAGCAACUGCCAUGUAAAUGGUUGAUUAGAUAAUUGCAUUAAUGAGAAAUUGAACAGGUGUUCCUAAUAAUCCUUUAGGUGAGUAUAUUUAGCCAUUCAAGUUGUUACAACUAAGAUCUGCAAAUUUAAGUUUGUCCUAUUUAUAAAUUAGGUGUUGUCACCCCAUAUUGUGCUCUUGCCACCCCUUUGCCACCCCAUGUCUAAAAUCCUGGACAUGCCACUAUAUGGCACGUACUACACAGGAAAAUUCACAACAAAUACAUUAUCAUCAAAUGUAUCGUAGCAAAAACAAUGAUUAGAAUGUGUUUUCAUGUAACAUAAGUAGCCUGCAUUUUCAGAUUAGCAAUGAUUGUUGCAGCAUGAAAGGCAGCUAGCUAGUAGGUGUGCAUUGCUUUUAGUAGCUAGUCUAGUCAAAUGUUCAUAAUUUUUUAUACCAAAUUUAUAUUAUGCAAUUAACAGACUGUUUACACUGAGAAUAAUAACUAUAAAAAUAGCUGCUAGAUUUAGGCUAACUAUACCACUAACGUCUAGCCAGAGACAUACUGUAGUACAUAGCCAGCUUGCAUCCACACUGUAAUUUUAACCCUCUACGUGCCACCAAGUCAAUAUUUAACUGCAGCUAACAGCAAUCACUUUAAAUGGACUAUGAAGAAUGUUUUGGACCAGAAAAUGUCAUGCUUGGAAACACAAUUUUUUAAAUUAUAUUAUUGAGAAACCGACAAAGCUUGACACAAACAUAUUCAAGCAUUACGUUACGUGAAAUGUCGAGCGAUGUCUGCCCUCAACCGCAUUAGCCACGAUAGAAACAUCUUGGUUAAUCGUUAAAAAACCUAAAACAUUUUCACAUGAAUAAGAAAUGUGUAUUAAAAUAUAUUCAUAUCUAGAGAAUGAAUAUCAUCCUACUUUUCCUACAUCAGAUUUUGUGCUUCUUUACUACUUACCUGCAUCCAUCAAACAAGUUUGAAAUAUGAUGAACAGACUCACUUUGUUCGACAGACUUUACAUCCAUACCUGAGCCAAUCAGAUGCCAAGAUUAUGUGGCAUAUGGAUAUAUCCUAAAUCCUCAUUGUUGCUUUUGAUAAAGAUACAUUGAAGAGAAUGUAAAGGGUCCUGGUGUUCUAGUUUACCAUACUAUGCAACUGCUCAUCCUCUGAAGUUCCAUUGGGAUAAUUAAGGUUGGGAUAAUUGUAUGUAUUUGUAAAAUAAUUAAAUGUACAGGUAAAAUAUGUGGGGAAAAAAUUGUCACUGGCAUAUAUUGGGAUAGUGUGAACAUCAUUUGAUUUUUCACUUGAUGAGGGAAGGAAUUGUAUGACAAAUUGACACUUGUCAAAUCUGUGUUGGAGGGAAAGGCUAGACUCCAAACUGGUGGCGCAGCAUUUGGUUUGAGCCAUGUCUCUGUGGUUUGCCACACUUAAAAAAUUAUCAUAAAGCAGCUUUUUUGACAAAUAAAUUAAUAACAUAUUAUGCAAUGUUAGAGGGAGAGAAUGGCAGUCCCACAUUUCUCUGUGUUGAUGCUGACCUUGGAUAAUGAUUCUGUUAGGGGGAUGGAGGGUAUGGAUGUUCAAACACCAGCUGUUCUCCACGUGUUUUGUAACGUUAUUAGUAUAAUGAUGAAUCCCAGAUCAUAUUGUAUCAAGACAGGUUUUAUAGUUGCAUAAGAGAAUUGGGUAAGCCAUGCACCCACAAAAAGGAAAAAAAUGAAGAAUGCGCACGAAAGAGAGAGAGAGUAAGAGAGACCAACUGAAUGACGUAUCAUUUGAGAGGACAAAAAGUCACAGAGGGAUAGAGAAGGGACAAAUCAAAUAGAGAGGGAGAUAAAGUGACAUGAGGAGUGAGAGAUUGUAAAAAAGAUAUGAGAGCAAGAGAGGGAACAUGAGAGAGUGAAGAAAGGAGAAAAACAUCUGUAAAAUAUGGCGGACAUGCCUGGCUGGCCUGCUCACUUCAGUUAAAGCAAUGCUUGGGCUUAUCAAUCAUGAUAUAGCCUAUUCUCUUUAUGGUGACAUGCUGGUCACAUGUCAAGGACAGAUGCUGCUGCUAGGCUGAGUUGUGUUUGUGUCCUGUUUUGCGUGCAGUUACACUGAGUUAUGUAAGGCUUUAUUGGCUCACUGUGGGUGGAGUGAGCCUGUCUCUCCUAGUGUGUCUUACUGAGAGUAAAGUGUGUGCUUACCUAACUAGACAAUUCACAAACUGGGGAACAUACUAAGUUCCCAUUAGGCCUUUUCACCCCAUUGUUCUAGGCCCGAGGCUAUGGCAUUGGGUCAAAUAUAACACAAUACCAUUUUAAAUUCUAUGAUAAGCUACAAAUGUUACUUUCUCUCUGGCAUGCAAAUAAUGUUACAGUACAUUACUGACACGCGCUCAAUGUUUUGGCUAUUGUGACGGCUGCUCCGCGUGGAACUGCAUGCUCUCUCCCUCUCUGCACUGACAACGUGCCCCCCGGACAAAACCUACGUGCCCCAGAGUGUGUGGGGCCGGUUGGUGACCUGGGCACACACUACACCAGUGAACGAACACCUAGGCAUCACCUGGACCCUGGAGGAGCUCCGUGAGAAGUAACGUCCUCUCCUGCACAGUGAGCGCACAGUCGAAGGUGCCACAAACUGCUCCGAUAGGUCUAACCCCCUUCCAGGGGGUCCUAGGUUUCCAGCCUCCGUUGUGCCCCUGGUUCGGGGGUUCCAGCGACAUCCAGUCUGUAGAGGAGUGGUUCAGGAAGUCUGACAAGGUGUGGAGCAGCGGCGGAGCAACACUCCUGGGUUCCGUCCGGGGGACAAGGCAUGGUUGUCCACAAGUGAUCUCCUGCUCCGUCUGCCCUGUUGCCGGUGGUUCCUGGUCCCCUGGGGGGAUCCAGUCCUGCAGUGGCGCCUCCGCCUGGAGGACAACUAUGAGGUGGGCUGAGAUAAGACGGAUCUCAUACACACACACACACAGACUGUCCUGUCCUACAGCUACGAGUGGAGUCUACUCUGGGGCGCCGCACGUCUACAGUGAUGCCGGGUUCCUGUGAGCUGGACUAAUUCUAGUCCUGACGAUUCUGCCAUGAGAUGGAGAAGGCAACCUCCAACCGAGAGGAUGGAGGCGAAGGAAAGUUCCGGUUCUGGACAACGUUUAUGGGGGUGCAGAAAGACCAACUGCACGACAUCAUGCCACGCUCAUUGGGUCCAUACCAGGUACAUCUCAUCUGCUGUCCAGGUAGCUGAGAGAGGAGCUGGGGUUCGACGACACACGCUACAGGAGGGCUUCGUUGUUUAAAGGGCAUGAUUUUUUCCCGAUCUGCACUGAAUGAAGAAGUUAGCGCACUGGACUUCAGAAGACAGAUUUUAUUCAGAUAUAUGAGGGAAUAAAUCAAUAUAAUGUUUACUAUAAUAAAUCUUUUUUAAGUGUUAAGGUAGGGUUAAGGUUACGUAAAAUAAUAAGUGUUACAUUUAGGAUUAGGAUAUACAUUUACAUUGGGCCUAAUUGUGACAUCUGCUCCGCGUGGCACCGCAGCUCCUCUUCCUGUCCUGCGCUCCACCUCACUGGUGUAUUAACCACCAGCUGGAGAGUGAUGGUGCCCUCUUGGGUGGAACCAGAGCCAGUGCCCAUGGAGCUGGGAAUCACCAGAAUUCCCGUGGAGGAGAGAGAACACAGGAGUUGUCAGGGGCUGUGCCUGUUCUGCAGGGAGAAGGGGCAUUUCCAGAAGGGGUGCACCUUGGCCCAGACGUGGAGCAGGAAAAGGG
ensembl:lncRNA